ensembl:lncRNA
CGAUGUUGCCGCUAAACUCAAAAUAGGCGGACCACUAAUGUCGAUUCCAGGAAGAGCAUCGGUUAACAUUAAACAGGCUGAUUUUUUUUUCUAUAUAGGGUAUUUCGAAAAUGAAAGUAGUUAAAUCAAUGAGAAAAUAAAACUGUACAUACAAAGACACAAACAGGAAAUCGUAAGAAGCGUGCAACAGUGCGUCAUCGAGAAUGAUGAUAAUAAGAAGACUUGACAGCUCAUUUUACUUGUGAAGGGAAUCCUUGCCAAACUAACAUGCACUGUGUCAGUAUACCAGAAUCAGUCUGUUGCUUAUAUCAUCUCUGGACCUCCGACUGCACCUGGAUGCUUACCCGAAUGGACCGCUGCUAACACCAUGUUGGUUGAUGAGAAGGGAAAUAUUUACCAUCAAGUGGUUUUGCAUGCUGAACCACAAAGGAUUCUCACUAUAGACUGUCAAAAAGAUGUUGCAUACCGUCUGGAAUGUUUGGCACUUUGGGUUUCUUCAGUGGUCAAGUGCAACAAUAAGUGUCCCACUGCACCUGUUGCAACAGUCACAAAAGUAGCCUGUAGAGACUCAACUGUGGAGCUCCCAGUUACAGGCAGAAAUCAUGUUGUAGCAUUUGCUGUUGGUGGCAUUGCUGUACUACUUUGCUUUGUCAUCAUCUUUUCCAAGUAAUCCGUUGGUGUUGUUUAAAAAAAAAACAGACACAUUUUUGGGAAAUUGCUUUAUUUUUUGGACCAAGAAUUUAUGACACUUUAGUCAGUGCUGACUGUGUCUCACCACUGCCUGCUGUUUGGAUCUUUUGAUCAUUCAGAAAAAAGUUUCCUAAUUUCCAGCAUGAGGAAACACUUACAGCCACAGGUGCAAAAAAUGAAUAAGGGGGUGACAUAUAAUACUUAAAUCAGCUUGCGCAGGGGAAAGAAGGCAUGUGACAGUUUUGGAGCCAUCUAUGUUCCCCCAAAAGACAAUUUGUAACUUGCAGCUGUCACUUGUAUGUUCUGUGUUUCUGUUCUACCUGCCUUGUCCUAGUUUUCAUUUGUUGCUUGAUUAGUUCUUUUGUUUCCACCCGUGUUCAUUUAUCUUAGUCCAUCGUUUGGUUUUGUAUACCUGUGUUCAUUUCUUAUCUUAUUAGUCCUCAGUUUGUUUGUCCUGUUUCCGUCAUGUAAAGAGUUUUUUUUUUCUCCUGUUUUUUAAGAUUCUGUUUAUUUGAUAUCUGCCUCCUUCGUACUCAUUCAAGCUCCUUCGACUGGCAACCCCGUGACAGAAGACAGGAUCCUAAAAGGAUAGACUGGGCUGAGGAUUUACUACUUAACAUCCAGCAGGAGGGACGGCCAUUGGAACGAUAUGUGGAGUUCCUGAGUGUUUAUCAUCUGUUAUAGACCUGUAACAGACAUUCUAAAUCACGUCCUCAAUAAUCGUCCAGAUCCCAUCUGGAAGCAUGUAGGCGCUCCGGCUCACCUUAAAUCAGCACCUUUCAUAUACUGCUCCAAUGAGCCCGCUCCCUUCGUUCAACCCAUGCCUUCGGGAUCCCAUCCAAGAUCCAUUUCAGCCCAGAAAAUGAGGCACCAGCGCUCCUGGAUUUGGCUCUUCCUCUGGAGAUCUCUGCUCCUAUCUUCUCACCUGAGUCUGCUCCAGAAAGCUCUCCUGAGUUUCCUUCAUCUCUGCUAGUCCCUUCCAGCCCUCCUUCAUUUCCUGAGUCUCCUGUGUUAGCGCCCUCCAACUGCCUGCCCCUCGAGAGCGCCUAGUUUUCCCCAAGAAAAUUUUGGGAGGCAGUCUAUAUAAAUGUGGCCACACCGGCUAAGGCCACGGAGGAUCUGCCUUGGCCUCCUGAGUCCCCUGAUCCGCCAUGGCCCCCUGAGUUACCAGCUUCUCCAUGCCUCCUGGAGCUACCAGAUCCGCCCACCACGUCCACCACUGAUGUCAUGUGUAUGUUCUGUGUUUCUGUUCUCUCUGCCUUGUCCUAGUUUUUCCUUUGUUGCUUGAUUAGUUAAUUUGUUUCCACCCGUGUUCAUUUAUCUUAGUCCAUCAUUUGGUUUUGUAUACUGUAAAUGGCCCUGACUGUCCUCAGUUUGUUUGUUUGUCCUGUCUCCGUCAUGUAAAGAGGUUGUUUUUCUCCUGGUUUUUCCAAGUGGAUUUAUUAAAAGACUGUUUAUUUGAUAUCUGCCUCCUUGGUGCUCCUGCACCUAGCAACCCUAUGACAGUAGCUAAGUUGUAAAUUAUAUUAACUUUCUCAGUCUACAUCAUUAUAAAUAAACUCAGUAUGUUAUGUACUAACAAUUGCAAAACAGGUUUUCUUUUCACUUUAACCCGCAGCUUUAAACUUAACUAAACCACUUCUGCAUAUAAGGGCAUCGGCUUUCAUAAUCUUAAACUUGCUGCCUUUUCUGUCUGUAUGCAUUUAUUUUAUUUUUC